UUAAGCGACUAAGCGUACACGGUGGAUGCCCUGGCAGUCAGAGGCGAUGAAGGACGUGCUAAUCUGCGAAAAGCGUCGGUAAGGUGAUAUGAACCGUUAUAACCGGCGAUGUCCGAAUGGGGAAACCCAGUGCAAUUCGUUGCACUAUCGUUAACUGAAUACAUAGGUUAACGAGGCGAACCGGGGGAACUGAAACAUCUAAGUACCCCGAGGAAAAGAAAUCAACCGAGAUUCCCCCAGUAGCGGCGAGCGAACGGGGAGCAGCCCAGAGUCUGAAUCAGCUUGUGUGUUAGUGGAACGGUCUGGAAAGUCCGACGGUACAGGGUGAUAGUCCCGUACACCAAAAUGCACAGGCUGUGAACUCGAAGAGUAGGGCGGGACACGUGGUAUCCUGUCUGAAUANNNNGGACCAUCCUCCAAGGCUAAAUACUCCUGACUGACCGAUAGUGAACCAGUACCGUGAGGGAAAGGCGAAAAGAACCCCGGCGAGGGGAGUGAAAAAGAACCUGAAACCGUGUACGUACAAGCAGUGGGAGCACCUUCGGGUGUGACUGCGUACCUUUUGUAUAAUGGGUCAGCGACUUAUAUUCUGUAGCAAGGUUAACCGUAUAGGGGAGCCGCAGGGAAACCGAGUCUUAACUGGGCGUUAAGUUGCAGGGUAUAGACCCGAAACCCGGUGAUCUAGCCAUGGGCAGGUUGAAGGUUGGGUAACACUAACUGGAGGACCGAACCGACUAAUGUUGAAAAAUUAGCGGAUGACUUGUGGCUGGGGGUGAAAGGCCAAUCAAACCGGGAGAUAGCUGGUUCUCCCCGAAAGCUAUUUAGGUAGCGCCUCGUGAACUCAUCUUCGGGGGUAGAGCACUGUUUCGGCUAGGGGGUCAUCCCGACUUACCAACCCGAUGCAAACUACGAAUACCGAAGAAUGUUAUCACGGGAGACACACGGCGGGUGCUAACGUCCGUCGUGAAGAGGGAAACAACCCAGACCGCCAGCUAAGGUCCCAAAGUCAUGGUUAAGUGGGAAACGAUGUGGGAAGGCACAGACAGCCAGGAUGUUGGCUUAGAAGCAGCCAUCAUUUAAAGAAAGCGUAAUAGCUCACUGGUCGAGUCGGCCUGCGCGGAAGAUGUAACGGGGCUAAACCAUGCACCGAAGCUGCGGCAGCGACACUAUGUGUUGUUGGGUAGGGGAGCGUUCUGUAAGCCUGCGAAGGUGACCUGUGAGGGUUGCUGGAGGUAUCAGAAGUGCGAAUGCUGACAUAAGUAACGAUAAAGCGGGUGAAAAGCCCGCUCGCCGGAAGACCAAGGGUUCCUGUCCAACGUUAAUCGGGGCAGGGUGAGUCGACCCCUAAGGCGAGGCCGAAAGGCGUAGUCGAUGGGAAACAGGUUAAUAUUCCUGUACUUGGUGUUACUGCGAAGGGGGGACGGAGAAGGCUAUGUUAGCCGGGCGACGGUUGUCCCGGUUUAAGCAUGUAGGCUGGUUGUCCAGGCAAAUCCGGAUAAUCAAGGCUGAGGUGUGAUGACGAGGCACUACGGUGCUGAAGUAACAAAUGCCCUGCUUCCAGGAAAAGCCUCUAAGCAUCAGGUAACAUCAAAUCGUACCCCAAACCGACACAGGUGGUCAGGUAGAGAAUACCAAGGCGCUUGAGAGAACUCGGGUGAAGGAACUAGGCAAAAUGGUGCCGUAACUUCGGGAGAAGGCACGCUGGUGUGUAGGUGAAGCCCCUGCGGGUGGAGCUGAGACCAGUCGAAGAUACCAGCUGGCUGCAACUGUUUAUUAAAAACACAGCACUGUGCAAACACGAAAGUGGACGUAUACGGUGUGACGCCUGCCCGGUGCCGGAAGGUUAAUUGAUGGGGUUAUCCGUAAGGAGAAGCUCUUGAUCGAAGCCCCGGUAAACGGCGGCCGUAACUAUAACGGUCCUAAGGUAGCGAAAUUCCUUGUCGGGUAAGUUCCGACCUGCACGAAUGGCGUAAUGAUGGCCAGGCUGUCUCCACCCGAGACUCAGUGAAAUUGAACUCGCUGUGAAGAUGCAGUGUACCCGCGGCAAGACGGAAAGACCCCGUGAACCUUUACUAUAGCUUGACACUGAACAUUGAGCCUUGAUGUGUAGGAUAGGUGGGAGGCUUUGAAGCGUGGACGCCAGUCUGCGUGGAGCCAACCUUGAAAUACCACCCUUUAAUGUUUGAUGUUCUAACGUUGGCCCCUGACCGGGGUUGCGGACAGUGUCUGGUGGGUAGUUUGACUGGGGCGGUCUCCUCCCAAAGCGUAACGGAGGAGCACGAAGGUUAGCUAAUCCUGGUCGGACAUCAGGAGGUUAGUGCAAUGGCAUAAGCUAGCUUGACUGCGAGCGUGACGGCGCGAGCAGGUGCGAAAGCAGGUCAUAGUGAUCCGGUGGUUCUGAAUGGAAGGGCCAUCGCUCAACGGAUAAAAGGUACUCCGGGGAUAACAGGCUGAUACCGCCCAAGAGUUCAUAUCGACGGCGGUGUUUGGCACCUCGAUGUCGGCUCAUCACAUCCUGGGGCUGAAGUAGGUCCCAAGGGUAUGGCUGUUCGCCAUUUAAAGUGGUACGCGAGCUGGGUUUAGAACGUCGUGAGACAGUUCGGUCCCUAUCUGCCGUGGGCGCUGGAGAAUUGAGGGGGGCUGCUCCUAGUACGAGAGGACCGGAGUGGACGCAUCACUGGUGUUCGGGUUGUCAUGCCAAUGGCACUGCCCGGUAGCUAAAUGCGGAAGAGAUAAGUGCUGAAAGCAUCUAAGCACGAAACUUGCCCCGAGAUGAGUUCUCCCUGAGACUUUAAGUCUCCUGAAGGAACGUUGAAGACGACGACGUUGAUAGGCCGGGUGUGUAAGCGCAGCGAUGCGUUGAGCUAACCGGUACUAAUGAACCGUGAGGCUUAACCUU
rnacentral:rRNA from 1 species